AGUGAGGUGGCCGAGAUUAGGUGAUAAAUUGUAAAUUUAUUAACGGGGCACACCCCCCCUUGCU
rnacentral:tRNA from 1 species